rnacentral:rRNA from 1 species
UACGGAGGGUGCAAGCAUUGAUCGGAAUUACUGGGCGUAAAGGGCGCGUAGGCGGUUAUGAAAGUCAGACGUGAAAUUCCGGGGCUCAACCCCGGAGCUGCAUUUGAAACUUCAUGACUAGAGUUCAGUUAGGGUAAACGGAAUUCCACGUGUAGCGGUGAAAUGCGUAGAUAUGUGGAAGAACACCGGUGGUGAAGACGGUUUACUGGGCUGAGACUGACGCUGAGGCGCGAAAGCAUGGGGAGCAAACAGG